CCCUGCAUUCGAAAGUGAUUGUGGACUGGCUAUGCCCUGGUCAUUGAUAGUGCAAGGAGAGAAACGUUGAAAGAUGUUUUCCCUGAGUUUAGAGGGUUCACCUGUCCCUUCUGAACCCUGGAGCUUUCCCACA
ensembl:snoRNA SNORA71 Small nucleolar RNA SNORA71